AACGAACGCUGGCGGCAGGCCUAACACAUGCAAGUCGAACGCCGUAGCAAUACGGAGUGGCAGACGGGUGAGUAACGCGUGGGAACAUACCCCUCGGUUCGGAAUAACUCAGGGAAACUUGAGCUAAUACCGGAUACGUCCGAGGUUUUAAUCGACCUUGGAGAAAGAUUUAUCGCCGGAGGAUUGGCCCGCGUCUGAUUAGCUUGUUGGUGAGGUAAUGGCUCACCAAGGCGACGAUCAGUAGCUGGUCUGAGAGGACGAUCAGCCACAUUGGGACUGAGACACGGCCCAAACUCCUACGGGAGGCAGCAGUGGGGAAUAUUGGACAAUGGGCGAAAGCCUGAUCCAGCCAUGCCGCGUGAGUGAUGAAGGCCUUAGGGUUGUAAAGCUCUUUUACCCGGGAAGAUAAUGACGGUACCGGGAGAAUAAGCCCCGGCUAAC
rnacentral:rRNA from 1 species